AGGCUUUGAGGUGUUUUACAUGUUGGGUUGCAAACCCAAAGUAGUCGGUUAACAGCCCACCAGAGCC
rnacentral:tRNA from 1 species